rnacentral:rRNA from 1 species
UACAGAGGGGCGAAGCGUUGUUCGGAAUUACUGGGCGUAAAGGGCGCGUAGGCGGCCGCCUAAGUCAGACGUGAAAUCCCUCGGCUCAACCGGGGAACUGCGUCUGAUACUGGGUGGCUUGAAUUCGGGAGAGGGAUGCGGAAUUCCAGGUGUAGCGGUGAAAUGCGUAGAUAUCUGGAGGAACACCGGUGGCGAAGGCGGCAUCCUGGACCGAGAUUGACGCUGAGGCGCGAAAGCCAGGGGAGCAAAGCGGG